rnacentral:rRNA from 1 species
UACGAAGGGAGCUAGCGUUGUUCGGAAUUACUGGGCGUAAAGGGCGCGUAGGCGGACAUCUAAGUCAGGGGUGAAAUCCCAGGGCUCAACCCUGGAAUUGCCUUUGAUACUGGACGUCUCGAGUUCGGGAGAGGUGAGUGGAAUUCCGAGUGUAGAGGUGAAAUUCGUAGAUAUUCGGAGGAAACACCAGAAGCGAAGGCGGCUCACUGGCCCGAUACUGACGCUGAGGCGGCGAAAAGCGUGGGGAGCCAAACAGGG